ACAUCUCCUUCAAGUAGUGUCAUCAUUGAACUAAUAUGACUGAUGAGAAAAGGAAUCUUGAAGAUCAUAUCCUUCGUUGACCCUUUUUGCCUGAUUUCUUCAUCUACCUUUAACCAUAAUUCCACGUUGUCGUGAUCUUUAACCAUUGACUUGGGGAGAACUGCACUGAUAGGAGUGAAGGUGUCUUGCGCUUUGGCUAAUGUCCAUGGGAGACCUGAGGCCUUGGCAGAAGAUUGGAUUUCUCUAGCAGUCAUAUCCAAGGCGAGUGCGUAACCUCCAACAAAGUCCAUAGCAUCAGAUUCGGCAACAUCGCGGGCCUUCUUGCCGAUGAGAACCGCCAACUCCACCUCAUGAUCCA
rnacentral:misc_RNA from 1 species